rnacentral:rRNA from 1 species
UACGUAGGGUGGCAAGCGUUAAUCGGAAUUACUGGGCGUAAAGCGUGCGCAGGCGGUUGUGCAAGACCGAUGUGAAACUCCCCGGGCUUAACCUGGGGAAUGGCAUUGGUGACUGCACGGCUAGAGUGUGUCAGAGGGGGGUAGAAUUCCACGUGUAGCAGUGAAAUGCGUAGAGAUGUGGAGGAAUACCGAUGGCGAAGGCAGCCCCCUGGGCCUAGCACUGACGCUCAGGCAGCGAAAGCGUGGGGAGCAAACAGG